UCUCUCCUCAGCGCACACACACCUUUAGCUCCCCACCCCCUUCCUCCCUCCAUUUCGCCCUCCCCCACUCAUUCUUUUCAGACCGAUCUUCUGCUUGCCUCCCCCCACUACACCGAGGGCUGCCUUAUCUGCUGCCUCUCCAUACGCCGCACACAUUCACACAUGUCUAGACUGCACCGGCACAAAAAAACAAGCCACAUUGGGGCUGCCCAACCGGCGCGCAGGAACUGCCCUCCGUGCCAAACUACACGGAUGCACGAGACGCUGAAGCUCAGAUGGGAGGGUUUACAAGGAGUAGACGGAAACGGACACUUGAUGACAGACAGACCAGAGGGAUGAAAUUGUGGAUUCUUAUUGUAACUGAAGAUGACGUCCCUAGCACAUUGCCUAACAUCACAAACUUUGCUACUGAGUUGGAAGGGGUUUUCAAAGAUGCUUCAGACCUGUAGUCUGCAGUUUCUUACCUGUUCGGCCUUCUCUUUGCCUUGAACUUUGAGUGCUUUGAGUUUUUUUUUUUUUUUUCUCUCUUUUCUCUUUUGGUAUUGUUUUAACUGAUUGUUGUAUUUAUUUUAUAGUUAAGGAGUAUGGUUGUGGUGUUUGACAUUGUUCAUAUUUUCAUUUCAAUAUGUAAACAAGAGCUUUUGCUGCUGGUUUCUAUUAAGUUAAACAAAACUUCAAGCCUGCAGUUAUAGCUUCAUUUCAUAACUUUGUUUUAAUGUUAACCUCUUAAACUUCAUCUGGAUGCCAACGCACUGAAGCACUCUUUGUUUAUAUUAGUUUUAGUGUAAAUGACUGUAAUUGCCUCAAACUAUACAUUAAAAAGAUCCAAGACUCAA